AGCAGUAGCCGCGGGAAUACAGAGGGUGCGAGCGUUAAUCGGAUUUACUGGGCGUAAAGCGUGCGUAGGCGGCUAAUUGAGUCGGAUGUGAAAUCCCCGAGCUUAACUUGGGAAUUGCAUUCGAUACUGGUUAGCUAGAGUGUGGGAGAGGAUGGUAGAAUUCCAGGUGUAGCGGUGAAAUGCGUAGAGAUCUGGAGGAAUACCGAUGGCGAAGGCAGCCAUCUGGCCUAACACUGACGCUGAGGUACGAAAGCAUGGGGAGCAAACAGGAUUAGAUACCCGGGUAGUCCCUGUCUCUUAUAC
rnacentral:rRNA from 1 species